CAGCCGCACGGUAAAACGUAGGUCCCGAGCGUUGUCCGGAUUUAUUGGGCGUAAAGCGAGCGCAGGCGGUUAGAUAAGUCUGAAGUUAAAGGCUGUGGCUUAACCAUAGUACGCUUUGGAAACUGUUUAACUUGAGUGCAAGAGGGGAGAGUGGAAUUCCAUGUGUAGCGGCGAAAUGCGUAGAUAUAUGGAGGAACACCGGUGGCGAAAGCGGCUCUCUGGCUUGUAACUGACGCUGAGGCUCGAAAGCGUGGGGAGCAAACAGGAUUAGAUACCCCGGUAGUCCCUGUCUCUUAUACAC
rnacentral:rRNA from 1 species